rnacentral:rRNA from 1 species
GACGAACGCUGGCGGCGUGCUUAACACAUGCAAGUCGAACGGAAAGGCCCUGCUUUUGUGGGGUGCUCGAGUGGCGAACGGGUGAGUAACACGUGAGUAACCUGCCCUUGACAUUGGGAUAACUUCAGGAAACUGGGGCUAAUACCGGAUAGGAGCUCCUGCUGCAUGGUGGGGGUUGGAAAGUUUCGGCGGUUGGGGAUGGACGCGCGGCUUAUCAGCUUGUUGGUGGGGUAGUGGCUUACCAAGGCUUUGACGGGUAGCCGGCCUGAGAGGGUGACCGGCCACAGUGGGACUGGGAUACGGCCCAGACUCCUACGGGAGGCAGCAGUGGGGAAUAUUGCACAAUGGGCGGAAGCCUGAUGCAGCAACGUCGCGUGCGGGAUGACGGCCUUCGGGUUGUAAACCGCUUUCGCCUGUGACGAAGAGUGAGUGACGGUAAUGGGUAAAGAAGCACCGGCUAACUACGUG